rnacentral:rRNA from 1 species
UACGUAGGCAGCGAGCGUUGUUCGGAGUUACUGGGCGUAAAGGGUGUGUAGGCGGUCCUCUAAGUUUGGUGUGAAAUCUCCCGGCUCAACCGGGAGGGUGCGCCGAAAACUGGGGGACUAGAGUGCGGGAUGGGAGAGUGGAAUUCCUGGUGUAGCGGUGAAAUGCGUAGAUAUCAGGAGGAACACCGGUGGUGUAGACGGCUCUCUGGACCGUAACUGACGCUGAGACACGAAAGCGUGGGUAGCAAACAGG